GCUGGGUGUGGUGGCGGGCGCCUGUAAUCCCAGCUACUCAGGAGGCUGAGGCAGGAGAAUUGCUUGAACCCGGGAGGCAGAAGUUGCAGUGAGCCGAGAUUGCGCCACUGCACUCCAGCCUGGGUGACAGAGCAAGACUCUGCCUCAA
rnacentral:SRP_RNA from 2 species